rnacentral:rRNA from 1 species
CCAAGACAACUUUACGGAGUUGACGAUUGACGGAGCGAAGCGACGUCAAAGCGUUCAUUAAAGUCGAGUUGGCUUAGGGAUACGUUCGUUGGGUAGGGGAGCGUUCUGUAAGCCUGUGAAGGUGUGUCGUGAGGCAUGCUGGAGGUAUCAGAAGUGCGAAUGCUGACAUAAGUAACGAUAAAGCGGGUGAAAAGCCCGCUCGCCGGAAGACCAAGGGUUCCUGUCCAACGUUAAUCGGGGCAGGGUGAGUCGACCCCUAAGGCGAGGCCGAAAGGCGUAGUCGAUGGGAAACGGGUUAAUAUUCCCGUACUUGGUGUUACUGCGAAGGGGGGACGGAGAAGGCUAUGUUGGCCGGGCGACGGUUGUCCCGGUUUAAGCGUGUAGGUGUGUGUUCCAGGUAAAUCCGGUUCACUUUAACACUGAGGCGUGACGACGAGGCACUACGGUGCUGAAGCAACAAAUGCCCUGCUUCCAGGAAAAGCCUCUAAGCAUCAGGUAACACGAAAUCGUACCCCAAACCGACACAGGUGGUCAGGUAGAGAAUACCAAGGCGCUUGAGAGAACUCGGGUGAAGGAACUAGGCAAAAUGGUGCCGUAACUUCGGGAGAAGGCACGCUGACACGUAGGUGAAGUGAUUUACUCAUGGAGCUGAAGUCAGUCGAAGAUACCAGCUGGCUGCAACUGUUUAUUAAAAACACAGCACUGUGCAAACACGAAAGUGGACGUAUACGGUGUGACGCCUGCCCGGUGCCGGAAGGUUAAUUGAUGGGGUCAGCGUAAGCGAAGCUCCUGAUCGAAG